UGUAGAUCCCACAUACCUAGCUAAGUGCACAGUUCCUCAGUUAUGGCAGAUACAGCAUUCACAUUCUGCAAAGUGAGGAGCCUUCGGGGAGACUCUCUUUGAGGGCAGUUAUGCCCAAGUCGCAGAGUUUUCCCAAGGGACCAGCCAGAGGAAGCCUCAGCUGAGUAGCCCUGUGAAGAGAAAUCCUGUGUCAGGCAAAGCUCUGAUUUGAAUGAACACAGUUGUCUUAACCUCUAGUUUCCUAAUUUCCUCCAUUGGUGUCUAGUGUUUGACAAGCCGUUUCUGUUUGGAGACGUUAAGCUGCUCCUCUCUACUCCAGCACCAUGCCCACAGCCUUCACUCAGUUGGCCCUGGAACAACUAUUUCCAAGAUCUAUGCAAGGGAAAGAGAGACUGAAAGGGAACAUGAAGCAAAAUGAUCCCUUAAUUCAAGUGAAUCAUUGUUACCUUCCUUCACAUAUCCCUUCUCUCCUCCUUCAUUGUUCUCCUUUCAAAAGAGAAGUAAUAUGUUCCAAAUCGGACCACAAAGAGGAUCUUCAGAAUCAAGUUAAAUUGGAGCGCAAGGAUUGGGGCUGAUGGGAAUAUGGAUUUUCAAGGUGCCAAGUCUGAUCUAAUUUAUGUUCAUUUCCUGAUUUCCAGCCUUUGGGCAUUUAUUGAAAUAGGGUUUCAUUGUAGAGUUCUUAUAUAACAUGUAUCCCCAUAGAUGUUGUUUUAAAUUUAAUCCAGAACAUAUAACUUUAUAUAUUUUGUUCUGUGAAAAACUGUAUAUGUGUACAAGUGGUGAAUUCCAUGUGCCAAGUAUUUAGACUAGUGUUAUAAUUUCUCUGGUGCUUCCCUAAGCAGCUUUCUCUAAAGGGGCUUGUAACUCAUAAUCACAGGGGCUGUUUGUGAAUAUAUUUCUCUGGGUCAGAAAUUUUGCCAGCGCUGACAGGCACCCUGGACAGCUUUUCAGAAAUCUCCUGGUUAUUACUCAUCCAUUAGAAAGGAAAAAAAUGAUAUUUUGCGUCAGUAGUUGUUUUUCUCUCUCUUUUUUCUUCUAAAUUACAGAAAUAAAGUGCCCAUUGUAAAUCGUUGAUGCUGGCGGACAAUAUUGCAUGCAGAUCAGGCGGACAGCUCAUUGGAUGAACAUGCAAUCUACAUACUGCAAGGAGAUCCAACCAGUCCAUUCUGACGGAGAUCAGCCCUAGGAUUUCUUUGGAAGGAAUGAUGCUAAAGCUGAAACUCCAAUACUUUGGCCACCUCAUGCGAAGAGUUGACUCAUUGGGAUGAUUUGGGAGAAUGACAUUCUAACAUGUAUACUAUCAUGUGAAUUGAAUCGCCAGUCUAUGUCUGACGCAGGAUGCAGCAUGCUUGGGG
ensembl:lncRNA